UCUAGUGUCUGUCCUUGUGUGAUGGAACUCCCUAGCCUCUGUCCUUGUGCGAUGGAACUCCCUAGUCUUUGACCUUGACAAAGUUAUUAAGGCAUUGUAAAGAAACCCCCGGAAAAAAAACUUGAGAUUAAAUCUCUCUUGAGUUAGCAAAAAUGUUAAGAAUCAAAUCAGCAACCAAGGACAUUUAUUGCAAGCAUGAAGUGUUUAUCCCCAACCUGACUUAAUGCACUUUUCCUGUCCUGCAUUGGUGGAAGGUGGAUCUGUGCCUCUUCUGAGUCUGCCAGCCUCUGUGUGCAUUCCACCCCAGGAAGAUUGAGUAAGGAGGGGACAGCAAGUCUUCUACAAAGGUGAAAACUGCUAAUGGACCAGUUCGAAGGCAGCAUCCAGAGAAGAAGUGGAAGAUGCAGGCAAUUUUGCUGUGAAUGGACUGUGAGGUUUAGAGGCACAGGAGAUGACUCAGACCACCUCCUCUCUAGGGUCUUCUCUAGGCCUGUGAGAUUCCCUGAUGGAGUGACUCAGGCAGUCUCCUUCUCUACACUCUGAAAUAUACUCUCCACCACCUGGCAGUGCCCAAGGAUGGGGUUUUCCUGGAUAUCUAGUAAGUCUUUUAAUAUCCCAGAGGCUUCCUUGCUCCCAAUACACAGUGAAUGAACUUGACACUUACAUGAUGCCU